CGCUAUAAAAAAAUAUGGUCAUUUUUGUUCUCACACAUUAAGUUGAUGGUGUUAUAAAAAAUAAAUCUAGAGAUAUUUGGACCAAAGAGGAUAGAAAAAGUUGGAGUACAUUUUGAAAGCUAAAAUUAUUAUCAUAAUUGCUCUCGAUAUCGAUGAGUUUUUUUUUUUGUAUUUUUCACUUUAGUUAUUUAAAAGAAAUUGUUUAGAAGGUAAAAC
rnacentral:lncRNA from 1 species